rnacentral:rRNA from 1 species
AGGGUUUGAUCAUGGCUCAGAACGAACGCUGGUGGCGUGCUUAACACAUGCAAGUCGAACGAGAAAGUUUCCUUCGGGAAAUUAGUAAAGUGGCGCAAGGGUGAGUAUCACGUGAAUAAUCUGCCCUCGAGAUCGGGAUAACAUGGUGAAAACUAUGCUAAUACCGGAUAAGACCACAUUUCAUAAGAAAUGCGGUAAAAGGAGUCUCAAUCUUCACUCGAGGAUGAGUUCGCGCAACAUUAGCUUGUUGGUGAGAUAAAAGCUCACCAAGGCUACGAUGUUUAGCCGGCCUGAGAGGGUGAUCGGCCACACUGGAACUGAGACACGGUCCAGACUCCUACGGGAGGCAGCAGUGGGGAAUAUUGCGCAAUGGGCGAAAGCCUGACGCAGCAACGCCGUGUGAGCGAUGAAGGCUUUAGGGUCGUAAAGCUCUGUCAAAUGGGAAGAAUUUUGACGGUACCAUUAGAGGAAGCCCCGGCUAACUCCGUGCCAGCAGCCGCGGUAAUACGGAGGGGGCAAGCGUUGUUCGGAAUUAUUGGGCGUAAAGCGUAUGUAGGCGGUUAAACAAGUCAGGCGUGCAAGCCCGUGGCUCAACCACGGAAUUGCGUUUGAAACUGUUUAACUUGAGUACAGGAGAGGAAAGCGGAAUUCCCAGUGUAGCGGUGAAAUGCAUUGAUAUUGG